rnacentral:tRNA from 1 species
GCCGGCGUAGCUCAAGGGAAGAGCCGCGGAUUUGUAAUCCGCAGGUUGCGGGUUCGAAUCCCGCCGCCGGCUCCA